UACAGAGACUGCAAGCGUUAUUCGGAUUCACUGGGCGUAAAGGGUGCGCAGGCGGUUGUGUGUGUCAGGUGGGAAAGCCCGGGGCUUAACCCCGGAAUUGCGCCUGAAACUACAUGACUAGAGCAUUGGAGAGGGUAGCGGAAUUCACGGUGUAGCAGUGAAAUGCGUAGAUAUCGUGAGGAACACCAGAGGCGAAGGCGGCUACCUGGACAAUUGCUGACGCUCAGGCACGAAAGCGUGGGGAGCAAACAGG
rnacentral:rRNA from 1 species